GCUGCAGAAAGACAUUUUAAAUAGACAUCUAAGGACCAUUUGAAUCUCUCUCAAAGGACAUUGUGAAUAGGAACGGACACAGGGGCAAUUCAAAGAGGUUAUUCAAGAGGUGCAUAAGAGGAUAUUCAUUACUAAUCCUCCAACCAGGAUCAACAGGAAGCAACAAAAUGGAUUAAACCUGCAAAAAGGAAGUAUAACUUUAAUUUAGAAACACCGGCAUCUGUCUUAGACUGUGUCAGACUAUUGAUUCCUGUAGCUCACUGUUGUCGACACCGUAUUGACUCUCAGCAGUUCUCAGGGCUUGAGACAGGCAGCAUUUCCUAGCUCUACCUGGAAAUGCAAGAGAAUGAACCUGGGAUCUUCUGCAUGCAAAGCAUGUGCUCAGCCAUGAGUUAUGACUUCCUCCUGCACAUUUCAUUGCCAGUAGUGGGAUUCGAGUGGAAUUUAAAAGCAUACAAGCCCCGAAAAACUUUCACAGUGGUUUGUCAGGCAACACUAGACAGGGACAUGAUGGUGACAGCCAAGAUCAGAUCCACACACAAACCUCACCCCAUGCUGCUUUCUCCUCUCUGUGGAAAGACCCUCAACUUAUCCACAGGUCGUAUCAAAAUCCAUAAUUUUGGCUCCAAACCUGCUUUCAACUUACACAUGGAAAAUAAACGAGCUGAUGCUGAGGUAGAUCCCAACUCAUCGCCACAUUGCACACAAAGAGGGAAAUACCUUUACCUAUACCUCAACAGCUUCUGCAUUCACAGAUUCAACCACUCAUGGCUUGAAAACUUUUUGCCCUCCCCAAAGAAAAAUCUCCAAAUGGCAAACCUUGAUUUUGCUAUUUUAUAUAAAGGACACCAUUUUACACCCUUGUAUAUAAUGAGACUUGGACAUCUACAGAUUUUGGGAGGACCUAGAAUCAAACUCCAGCAGACACCAAGAGCCCACUGAAUAUGAAGAAGGCUGAAAAGCCCAGGAUCAACUCUUACAUGCUGUUGGCUGGACAACAUUUGAUUGUUUUUCCC
rnacentral:lncRNA from 11 species